rnacentral:rRNA from 1 species
GGAUGAACGCUAGCGGCAGGCUUAACACAUGCAAGUCGAGGGGCAGCGCGAGGUAGCAAUACUUUGGCGGCGACCGGCGGAAGGGUGCGUAACGCGUGAGCAACAUGCCCGUAUGAGGGGGAUAAGCGAUGGAAACGUCGUCUAAUACCCCGUAACACAGGAGAUCGCAUGAUCAUCUGUUGAAAGAUUUAUCGCAUACGGAUUGGCUCGCGUGACAUUAGCUAGUCGGCGGGUAACGGCCCACCGAGGCGACGAUGUCUAGGGGUUCUGAGAGGAAGGUCCCCCACACUGGAACUGAGACACGGUCCAGACUCCUACGGGAGGCAGCAGUGAGGAAUAUUGGUCAAUGGGCGGAAGCCUGAACCAGCCAUGCCGCGUGAAGGAAUAAGGCCCUAUGGGUCGUAAACUUCUUUUGACGGGGAGCAAUAAGGGUCACGUGUGGCCCGAUGAGAGUACUCGUCGAAUAAGCAUCGGCUAACUCCGUGCC